rnacentral:rRNA from 1 species
AGAUGACUCUCGGCAAUGGAUAUCUUGGUCCUCGCAUCGAUGAAGAACGUAGCGAAAUGCGAUACUUGGUGUGAAUUGCAGAAUCCCGUGAACCAUCGAGUUUUUGAACGCAAGUUGCGCCCUAAGCUUUCGGGCCGAGGGCAAGCCUGCGUGGGCGUCAAGU